GUCCACACAGUAAACGAUGAAUACUCGCUGUUUGCGAUAUACAGUAAGCGGCCAAGCGAAAGCAUUAAGUAUUCCACCUGGGGAGUACGCCGGCAACGGUGAAACUCAAAGGAAUUGACGGGGGCCCCGCACAAGCGGAGGAACAUGUGGUUUAAUUCGAUGAUACGCGAGGAACCUUACCCGGGCUUAAAUUGCAUUUGAAUAAUCUGGAAACAGGUUAGCCGCAAGGCAAAUGUGAAGGUGCUGCAUGGUUGUCGU
rnacentral:rRNA from 1 species